rnacentral:rRNA from 1 species
CCUACGGGAGGCAGCAGUGAGGAAUAUUGGUCAAUGGACGAGAGUCUGAACCAGCCAAGUAGCGUGAAGGAUGACUGCCCUAUGGGUUGUAAACUUCUUUUAUAAAGGAAUAAAACGAGGCACGUGUGCCUUUUUGCAUGUACUUUAUGAAUAAGGAUCGGCUAACUCCGUGACAGCAGCCGCGGUAAUACGGAGGAUCCGAGCGUUAUCCGGAUUUAUUGGGUUUAAAGGGAGCGUAGAUGGGUUGUUAAGUCAGUUGUGAAAGUUUGCGGCUCAACCGUAAAAUUGCAAUUGAUACUGGCAGUCUUGAGUACAGUAGAGGUAGGCGGAAUUCGUGGUGUAGCGGUGAAAUGCGUAGAUAUCACGAAGAACACCGAUUGCGAAGGCAGCUUACUGAACUGUGACUGACAUUGAUGCUCGAAAGUGUGGGUAUCAAACAGGAUUAGAUACCCCGGUAGUC